ensembl:lncRNA
UGGUGUUAAAGGUAAAGGUAUGGCUUUUAAAGGCCCAGUGCAGUCAAAAACCAUAUUUUCCUGUGUUUUAUAUAUAUUUCCACACUAUGAGGUUGGAAUGUUGAAGAUGCAACAUAAUAUUUAUUUGUUGGGUCUGAUGUAAUGAGGAGCAUCCAGAUGCUGCACUUGAUCCAUUUAUGAAAUAGUUUCUUCCAGUUAUUGAUAGGAAUGCACCUGUUAAGAAACGAUCUGUUAAGGCCCCGUGGAUUGAUGAGGAACAGAGAAGCUGUAUGGUUGAGAGAGGGACGAGGCUAAAGGAGUGGUGAAUAAGUCUGUCUGCACAUCUGAUCGGCAAAGUUACUGUGAAAUUAGGAAUUAUGUGAAUUAACUGAACGAAAAUGAGGAAGAAACUCUACUAUUAAUAAAUCUUAUAAUAAUAAUUAUAAUAAUUCAUAAUAAUAUAAUUAUUAUUAAACCAAGAUACUUUAUAUGAUUUAUGACUGAAAAUUAUGUGCAGAAACACUAAUUCAACUCCCUCUUUCAUUGAAUCAUAUGUCUCAUUUAUCGUAAAACAUUUUGAUUUAGCCAAUUUACUUUAAUGACUAUUUCAUUGGCAAAGUAGGCAAACUGCGAGCAUUCAUUCACAUUCAUGCAUCAAAUACCUAAUAAUGAAAGGGGAAGCAUUGUAAUUUAAGAUUUUUGUAAAGUAAGUUUGGAUGAGGUGGAAGAAUUAUUUUGGUCCGUCGAUAAUGAGAAACCACCUGGUAUUGACAACUUAGCUGGAAUGCUGCAGAGGAUGGUAUCUGACUGUAUUGACUCUCCUGUUUGUCAUAUCUUUCAUCUGAGUGUGGAGACAAAUGUUUGUCCUCAGACCUGGAGGGAAUCCAAAAGUCAUUCUACCCAAGAAUGGUAAAGCACCUUUUACUGGUUCUAACAGCCGACCAAUCAGAUUGCUGCUAACUCUUAGCAAAAACCUUUUGUAGAAAAUUGUGUUUGACCAGAUACAAUGCUAUUUCUCUGUAAACAAAUUAACAGCAUGCUUUCAGCAUGCUUAUAGAGAAGGCCACUCAACAUGUACUGCACUGACACAAAUGACUGAUGAUUGGUUGAAAGAAAUUGAUAAUAGGAAGAUUGUGGGAGCUGUACUGUUAGAUUCCAGUGCAGCAUUUGCUAUUAUUGACCAUAACCUGUUGUUGAAAGGAUGUACGUGCUAUGAUUUUCAACCUCUGCCAUAUUGUGGAUUCAGAGCUCUCUAUCUAAUAGAACUCAAAAGGGUUUUCUUUUAAUGGAAGCUCCUCUAAUGUCAAACAUGUAACGUGUGGUGUACCGCAGGGUAGCUCUCUCUUCUGUUUUUACCAAUGUCCUGCCACUGGCAUUGAACAACGCUUGUGUGUCCAUGCAUGCUGAGGAUUCAACAUUAUACACAUCAGCAACCAAAGCUGGUGGAAAAUCACUGGGAUUUUGUCUGACAAAACCGUGGGAAAUGAAUAAAAUAAGUAAUGUAAACAUAUUCAUAUUUUUUUCAAUAAAUCAGUAAUUUUUCAGUAA